GACUCCGUAGCUCAGCUGGUAGAGCAUUACACUUUUAAUGUAGGGGUCCUGGGUUCGAGCCCCAGCGGGGUCACAA
rnacentral:tRNA from 1 species